GAAAAACUUGAGCGGGAACCUUAGGAGUGGUAUGUUCCAAGAAGCGAUCGAAAUUGGUUAAAUUCUCAAUUCGAAUGGAUGAAAACGACGUCGUUGAGGAUGCUCCAUCAUCAGACUCAGUUCGACUCCCCGCUUCAAUUCUUGACUUGGCUUGCAUUUUUUGCUGCUUCCUCAUAGCCGGUGGGCUAUAAAACCGAUCAUCUCCAACCUUUCUCCGAUUUGCAGCCAUUUUAGAGGGGGAAAGAUUUUCAAAAGACCCAAAAAGGAAAAUGG
rnacentral:misc_RNA from 1 species